rnacentral:rRNA from 1 species
AUACGGAGGAUCCGAGCGUUAUCCGGAUUUAUUGGGUUUAAAGGGUGCGCAGGCGGGGGAUUAAGUCGGCGGUGAAAUUUUGCAGCUCAACUGUAAAAGUGCCUUCGAAACUGGGUUCCUUGGGUGGAGAUGAAGUAGGCGGGAUUUGUGGUGUAGCGGUGAAAUGCAUAGAUAUCACGAGGAACUCCGAUUGCGCAGGCAGCUUACUAAACUACUACUGACGCUCAGGCACGAAGGCGUGGGGAUCAAACAGGAUUAGAUACCCUGGUAGUCCACGCAGUAAACGAUGAUUACUAGCUGUUUGCGAUACAAUGUAAGCGGCUGAGCGAAAGCGUUAAGUAAUCCACCUGGGGAGUACGUUCGCAAGAAUGAAACUCAAAUGAAUUGGCGGGG